rnacentral:rRNA from 1 species
UGGAGUAUGUGGUUUAAUUCGACGCAACGCGCAGAACCUUACCUGGUCUUGACAUCUCGGGAAUCAUUUGGAAACAUAUGAGUGCCUCGCAAGAGGAGCCCGAUGACAGGUGCUGCAUGGCUGUCGCCAGCUCGUGUCGUGAGAUGUUGGGUUAAGUCCCGCAACGAGCGCAACCCUUGUCUUUAGUUGCCAUCAUUAAGUUGGGCACUCUAAAGAGACUGCCGGUGUCAAACCGGAGGAGGGCGGGGAUGACGUCAAGUCCUCAUGGCCCUUACAUCCCGGGCUACACACGUGCUACAAUGGCAGGUACAGAGGGCUGCGAAGCCGCGAGGUGGAGCGAAUCCCAGAAAACCUGUCUCAGUCCGGAUUGAAGUCUGCAACUCGACUUCAUGAAGGCGGAAUCGCUAGUAACCGCGAAUCAGCAGGUCGCGGUGAAUACGUUCCCGGGCCUU